rnacentral:ncRNA from 1 species
CGGCGCUCCGGAGAUGGCAUUCCUCCGUUCCCAACCGCUGUGCUGCUGCAGCUGAUGAUGCCUACAGACAC